rnacentral:rRNA from 1 species
UACGAAGGGGGCUAGCGUUGCUCGGAAUCACUGGGCGUAAAGCGCACGUAGGCGGAUCUUUAAGUCAGGGGUGAAAUCCUGGAGCUCAACUCCAGAACUGCCUUUGAUACUGGGGAUCUCGAGUCCGGAAGAGGUGAGUGGAACUCCGAGUGUAGAGGUGAAAUUCGUAGAUAUUCGGAAGAACACCAGUGGCGAAGGCGGCUCACUGGUCCGGUACUGACGCUGAGGUGCGGAAAGCGUGGGGAGCAAACAGG